rnacentral:rRNA from 1 species
CGGGGGGCAGCAGUAAGGAAUAUUGGUCAAUGGACGCAAGUCUGAACCAGCCAUGCCGCGUGCAGGAUGAAGGCCCUCUGGGUUGUAAACUGCUUUUAUAGGGGACGAAAAAAGGGCUUUCUAGCUCGUCUGACGGUACCCUAGGAAUAAGCACCGGCUAACUCCGUGCCAGCAGCCGCGGUAAUACGGAGGGUGCAAGCGUUAUCCGGAUUUACUGGGUUUAAAGGGUGCGUAGGUGGGUCGGUAAGUCAGCGGUGAAAUCUUCGAGCUUAACUCGGAAACUGCCAUUGAUACUAUCGAUCUUGAAUCAUCUAGAGGUAAGCGGAAUAUGUCAUGUAGCGGUGAAAUGCUUAGAUAUGACAUAGAACACCAAUUGCGAAGGCAGCUUACUAUGGAUGUAUUGACACUGAGGCACGAAAGCGUGGGGAUCAAACAGGAUUAGAUACCCGAGU